GGCCAAGUAGUUCAGCUGGUUAGAACGCUAGCCUGUCACGCUAGAGGUCGUGGGUUCGAGCCCCAUCUUGGUCGCCA
rnacentral:tRNA from 1 species